GUCCACGCCCUAAACGAUGUCAACUGGCUUUGGGAGUAUCGACCCUCUCCGAGGCGAAGCUAACGCGUUAAGUUGACCGCCUGGGUAGUACGGCCGCAAGGCUAAAACUCAAAGGAAUAGACGGGACUUGCACAAGCAGUGGAUUAUGCGGUUUAAUUCGUAGACAAACGAAGAACCUUACCAAGGUUAGAAAUCUAAGUGAAGGUACGCAGAAACGUGUACCGUCCGCAAGGACAGUUAGACAGGUGAUGCAUGGCCGUCGU
rnacentral:rRNA from 1 species